UUUAUGGAGAGUUUGAUCCUGGCUCAGAACGAACGCUGGCGGGGUGCUUAACACAUGCAAGUCGGACGCGAAAGUACCGCUUCGGUGGUACAAGUAGAGUGACGCACGGGUGAGUAA
rnacentral:rRNA from 1 species